rnacentral:rRNA from 1 species
CUACGGGCGGCAGCAGUGAGGAAUAUUGCACAAUGGGGGGAACCCUGAUGCAGCAACGCCGCGUGGAGGAUGACGCAUUUCGGUGUGUAAACUCCUUUUAUAUGUCAAGAAAAUGACGGUAGCAUAUGAAUAAGCACCGGCUAACUCCGUGCCAGCAGCCGCGGUAAUACGGAGGGUGCAAGCGUUACUCGGAAUCACUGGGCGUAAAGGACGCGUAGGCGGGCUUGUAAGUCAGGUGUGAAAUCCUACAGCUUAACUGUAGAACUGCACUUGAAACUACGAGCCUAGAGUAUGGGAGGGGGAGAUGGAAUUAGUGGUGUAGGGGUAAAAUCCGUAGAUAUCACUAGGAAUACCUAAAGCGAAGGCGAUCUCCUGGAACAUAACUGACGCUAAGGCGUGAAAGCGUGGGGAGCAAACAGGAUUAGAUACCCCAGUAGUC